CCUCAGUAGAUGGUGUUUGUGUUUAUUAAAUGAAAAGGAGUGAAUUAAACAGUAUGGGAUCAUAAAUGGAGAAGCUUACAGAAGAUAAGCCUUUCAAGUGAAGGAGAGUAAGGAAAGUGGUUGGGUAUUUUAAGAAGUGAAGAACCAUGUCCUGUGUGUGGAAUUGAAGAUAUUGAUCAACUAUUCCCACAAGAAGAAGCAUUUCCUUACAGGGUACC